ensembl:ncRNA lncRNA:CR46060 long non-coding RNA:CR46060
AGUCUGUCUUACCCAACAGCCAAUGCCGGCGGAAGAGCAGCUGGAGCCAAUUGCUGACGCAAAUUGUUGUGGCAUAACACCAAACUCGCGUGCCUUCCAUGGAGCAACAUUGGCAGUAUUAGCAUCAAUGAAACACCGGAGACCAACACGUGAAGAACCCGAUGCGAACCCAAUUGUGAACCCAUCGCAAAACGCCCAUCGCCCAUCGCCCAUGGCACGUGCAUUUGAGCAUUCCAGUUCUCUAGUCGAGCCACACAUAUGCAUGGUUAUAUGGCAAUGAGGAAGUGGGAAACGAGGACAGACCUCCGAGAACGGAGGUGGGUGGCCGAGUUUACAUAAAUUAAUUAAACAUGACCGAGUAACGUGAGCAGCUCGGCAACUGGCAACUGGGAAAUGGACUUGUAACAGUCACAACACCAACGACAUCAGCAAAUCAGCAGGGGAUUCUGAAUAUAAAGGGUAUACCAAAAAAAAAAAAUAAAGUAAAACAGAUAAGAGACAAGGCGGAUAUUGCAAUGAAUAUGUAAGGCUAUGUUACGUAUACGCCGCGUGCGCCCACCGCAAGCUAUUGGCACUGAACAAAAUUGACUUAAGCUUCUAUAUAUGAUAAAUUAU